CCUACGGGAGGCAGCAGUGGGGAAUAUUGCGCAAUGGGCGAAAGCCUGACGCAGCGACGCCGCGUGAGGGAUUAAGGUCUUCGGAUCGUAAACCUCUUUCAGCAGGGAAGAACGGUCACUGUGCUAAACAGCAGUGAAUUGACGGUACCUGCAAAGGAAGCACCGGCUAACUCCGUGCCAGCAGCCGCGGUAAUACGGAGGGUGCGAGCGUUAAUCGGAAUUACUGGGCGUAAAGCGCGCGUAGGUGGUAUGUCAAGUCAAGGGUGACAUCCCCGGGCUCAACGUGGGAACUGCAUUUGAAACUGGGAAACUAGAGUGUGGGAGAGGAUAGCGGAAUGCGUGGUGUAGGAGUGAAAUGCGUAGAUAUCUGGAGGAACAUCAGUGGCGAAGGCGACUAUCUGGCACAUAACUGACGCUGAGGCGCGAAAGCGUGGGUAGCAAACAGGAUUAGAUACCCGAGUAGUC
rnacentral:rRNA from 1 species